rnacentral:tRNA from 2 species
GGCUCUGUAGUACAACGGAUAGUGCGUAGGUCUUCGGAACCUAAGAUCGGGGUUCGAUUCCCUGCAGGGCUA